UACGCGCUUGGGAGUAGUUGAUUUUGU
rnacentral:piRNA from 1 species